AUGGACUUCAGGCUCAGCUUGGUUUUCCUUGUCCUUACUUUAAAAAGUGUCCAGUGUGAGGUGCAGCUGGUGGAGUCUGGGGGAGGCUUAGUGCAGCCUGGAGGGUCCCUGAAACUCUCCUGUGCAGCCUCUGGAUUUACAUUCAGUAGCCAUUUCAUGGCAUGGGUCCGCCAAACUCCAGAUAAAAGACUAGAGUGGGCCGCAAACAUUUAUCCUGAUGGUGGUACCGCCUACUAUCCAAACACUGUGAAGGGCCGAUUCACCAUCUCCAGAGACAAUGCCAGGAACACCAUGUACCUGCAAAUGAACAAUCUGAGGUCUGAAGACACAGCCUUGUAUUACUGUGUAAGACAAGACACACAAUGA